GGCUCAGGAUGAACGCUGGCGGCGUGCCUAAUACAUGCAAGUCGAGCGAACUGAUUAGAAGCUUGCUUCUAUGACGUUAGCGGCGGACGGGUGAGUAACACGUGGGCAACCUGCCUGUAAGACUGGGAUAACUUCGGGAAACCGAAGCUAAUACCGGAUAGGAUCUUCUCCUUCAUGGGAGAUGAUUGAAAGAUGGUUUCGGCUAUCACUUACAGAUGGGCCCGCGGUGCAUUAGCUAGUUGGUGAGGUAACGGCUCACCAAGGCMACGAUGCAUAGCCGACCUGAGAGGGUGAUCGGCCACACUGGGACUGAGACACGGCCCAGACUCCUACGGGAGGCAGCAGUAGGGAAUCUUCCGCAAUGGACGAAAGUCUGACGGAGCAACGCCGCGUGAGUGAUGAAGGCUUUCGGGUCGUAAAACUCUGUUGUUAGGGAAGAACAAGUACAAGAGUAACUGCUUGUACCUGAC
rnacentral:rRNA from 1 species